rnacentral:rRNA from 1 species
UACGGGGGGGGCAAGCGUUGUUCGGAAUUACUGGGCGUAAAGGGCCAGUAGGCGGCCAACUAAGUCGGAUGUGAAAUCCCCAGGCUCAACCUGGGAACUGCAUCCGAUACUGGAUGGCUUGAAUUCGGGAGAGGGAUGCAGAAUUCCAGGUGUAGCGGUGAAAUGCGCAGAUAUCAGGAGGAACACCGGUGGCGAAGGCGGGUCUCUGGGCCGAUACUGACGCUGGAGGAGCGAAAGCGUGGGGAGCGAACAGG